CCGGCGCACUGGUGAGUAACACGUAUGCAACCUGCCCUCUACAGGGGGAUAAUCCGGAGAAAUUCGGUCUAAUAUCCCAUAGUCCCUGAGCUUGCAUGAGCUUGGGGGGAAAGCUCCGGCGGUAGAGGAUGGGCAUGCGGCGCAUUAGCUGGUUGGCGGGGUAACGGCCCACCAAGGCGACGAUGCGUAGGGGUUCUGAGAGGAAGGUCCCCCACACUGGUACUGAGACACGGACCAGACUCCUACGGGAGGCAGCAGAG
rnacentral:rRNA from 1 species